ensembl:lncRNA
GGCGCGGGGCUCUGCCUGGGCUCCGCCCGGGCUGCCGGAGGGUCGCGGCGGCGGCGCAGCGCGGCCCGGCUCCGCUCCGCUCCGCUCCGCUCCGCUCCGCUCCAGCGCCUGGGACGCGCCCGGCCGUGGCGCGCUCAGAAAGCCCCGACAGAUCCGGCAUCGCUUCCGUGGCGGGGACCGGAAGCUUUCCGGAAGCUUCUCUUUCGUUUGAAGCCAUGCUGGAAGGACGAGGAAGGGUUUAAGGACAGAGCGUAAGGCAGGCGCCCUGCGCUCUGAGGGGAAAUGACUUUAAAAGGAACUAUCAAACUGGCUUAUCCUCAGGUGAUGAGUCUGACGUGUCCUAGUGAGCUCCUGCUGUCACUCCGAUAGAGUCCAAACUGCUGUGGGAAUGAAGAAAACAGGAAUAAUACUAGCACUGGGCUGGCCAGAGCACACUUAUGUUCCCCACAUCAGGGCCUGUGCCAGUCAUGUUAACCACAACACAAGCCAUCCUGAAAUCUUAGUAUUGCACUUCUGCUGCAAAGAUUUCAAGGACUAUCGAUGGAUUGGCAGCUCAGCUAAGAAGCCAAGCUUUAAUACGUAUGCACAAGCAAACUCAUAUACACACUUACACAUACUUGAGGGAAGUAUAGAGGAAGACACCCUUAAAACUAUAUUUAGUUGCAGAGGAAAUGUUUUUUAAAAGCUCUUCAUUCAUCUGGAAAAUAUCUCAAUGUUAGUAAAGUCAUUACAAACCUGGAUUAUCUAGUUAAUAUUGUAACUGCUGUCUGCUUCAGUCAGUCCAGGCUAAGAACAAGAUUUGAAUGGUAUCUCACUUACGAGCUAGGUCUGCAAAACUGCUAAUGCCAUUCAGAUCUCAGCCACUGUGGUACUAGAAAACAGAACAAAAGAGAAGCCAUAUUAAUUUCCUGCAUCACAAUUGUGUGUACCUUGAUUUCCAGAGGGUUAGCAUCUCGGCUGGCCCCAGUUCCUAACUGUUCCCUGCUGGGUGAACACAGUUCUUAGAAUCACAUUCCAGUAAAGAUAACUCUGAGUACGAUUCUGGCAUCCCCUUCCUGUGCAAAGGUUACUGUAUUUGCCUGAAAUUUUUUCAGUAAGAUCUGUGCCCAUUAGCUUCUUCCUGAGAAUGUGGUAACAAAGAUAUUUUAUUUUUAUAUAUAUACACUAUAUAUACUAUAUAUAUAUAUAUAUAUAUACACACACAAGGUGUGUAAAUACACACACACACACACCCCCCUUGUGAAACCUUACUUCAUUCAGCUCAAAAGGAACACAACCCAGCUGAGUAAUAUUUGAAACAAAUCACAGAAUCACAGAAGGGUUGAGGUUGGAAGAGACUUCUGGAGAUCAUCUAAUCCAAUUCCUCUGCUCAAGCAGGGUCACCUAGAGCACGUUGCCCAGGAUUGUGUUCAGAUGGCUUUUGACUAUCUCCAGAGAAGGAGGCUCCACAACCUCUCUGCACAACCUGUUCCAGUGCUCUGUCACCCUCACAGUAAAAAAGUUUUUCCUCAUGUUCAGAUGGAACUUCCUGUGUUUCAGUUUGUGCCUGUUGCCUCUCGUCCUAUCGCUGGGCACCACUGAGAAGAGUCUGGUCCCAUCCUCUCGACACCCUCCCUUCAGAUACUUAUACACAUUGAUAAGAUCCCCCCCUUAGUCUUCUCAGCUUCAGGCUGAACAGUCCC